AGGGCUUAGUUUAAUUAAAAUAACUGAUUUGCAUUCAGUUGAUGUUAGAUGAAGUCUUGCAGUCCUUA
rnacentral:tRNA from 1 species